rnacentral:rRNA from 1 species
CCUACGGGAGGCAGCAGUGAGGAAUAUUGGUCAAUGGACGAGAGUCUGAACCAGCCAAGUAGCGUGAAGGAUGACUGCCCUAUGGGUUGUAAACUUCUUUUAUAAAGGAAUAAAACGAGGCACGUGUGCCUUUUUGCAUGUACUUUAUGAAUAAGGAUCGGCUAACUCCGUGCCAGCAGCCGCGGUAAUACGGAGGAUCCGAGCGUUAACCGGUUUUAUUGGGUUUAAAGGGAGCGUAGAUGGGUUGUUAAGUCAGUUGUGAAAGUUUGCGGCUCAACCGUAAAAUUGCAAUUGAUACUGGCAGGCUUGAGUACAGUUGAGGUAAGCGGAAUUCGUGGUGUAGCGGUGAAAUGCUUAGAUAUCACGAAGAACUCCGAUUGCGAAGGCAGCUUACUAAGCUGCCACUGACAUUGAUGCUCGAAAGUGUGGGUAGCAAACAGGAUUAGAUACCCGAGUAGUC